UACGUAGGGUGCAAGCGUUAAUCGGAAUUACUGGGCGUAAAGCGUGCGCAGGCGGUUAUGUAAGGCAGAUGUGAAAUGCCCGGGCUUAACCUGGGAACUGCAUUUGUGACUGCAUGGCUAGAGUUUGGCAGAGGGGGGUAGAAUUCCACGUGUAGCAGUGAAAUGCGUAGAUAUGUGGAGGAACACCGAUGGCGAAGGCAGCCCCCUGGGUCAAGACUGACGCUCAUGCACGAAAGCGUGGGGAGCAAACAGG
rnacentral:rRNA from 1 species